AGGAUAUUCGGAACUUCAUCGAUAGUUCUUUGAAGCAUGAUUAUCAUCUUGCCAUCUUCCGUAAAGAACGAAUUGGCGGAGAUUCAAAUGGAAUUUCAUACUGGUAUGAAGAUGACCCAAUCCUUGGGCAUCGGUUGUAUCGCGAAAUUAGGCGAGUGGAGUAUGUGAAGGAGCCAACAAAAAGAUCUAAAGGAAAGGGAGUCUCAAGUGUUCCGGUUAUAUCCUAUCAAUGGGAGGCAGUGGCAUCCAACUUUGAUGAGUUCAAUACAGCUGCAGUAAGUUUUGAGUUCAUCAUAGACCUUUCUUUAGGUUUUCUGUUAAAAAACGGAACCAUUGAUUAGUUCAUCCAUGCCUGUACGGAUGUACCUAAGCACUCACAAUUUUAUGUUAUGAUAAUAAAAGUUGAUGUCCGUUGUUGUUACAAGAUACUGUGAUGGUCAUGACCAUCUUGUAAAACAUGGACAUUGGUUGAAUAUUAUGAAUUGGUGAACUUCCA